rnacentral:rRNA from 1 species
AUUGAACGCUGGCGGCGUGCCUAACACAUGCAAGUCGAGCGAGCGGCGGACGGGUGAGUAAUGUCUGGGAAACUGCCUGAUGGAGGGGGAUAACUCCUGGAAACGGUAGCUAAUACCGCAUACCAUCAGAUGUGCCCAGAUGGGAUUAGCUAGUAGGUGGGGUAAUGGCUCACCUAGGCGACGAUCCCUAGCUGGUCUGAGCGGCUGACCAGCCACACUGGAACUGAGACACGGUCCAGACGCCUACGGGAGGCAGCAUGGGGGAAUAUUGCGCAAUGGGCGCAAGCCUGAUGCAGCCCUGCCGCGUGUGUGAUGAAGGCCUUCGGGUUGUAAAGCACUUUCAGCCGGGAGGCGUUACCCGCAGAAGAAGCACCGGCUAACUCCGUGCCAGCAGCCGCGGUAAUAC